UUAUAUGGUCAAGAAGAGAAGCGCAAACGGUGGAUGCCUUGGCAGUAAGAGGCGAAGAAGGACGUGGAAUCCUGCGAAAAGCUAUGGGGAGCUGGAAACGAGCGUUGAGCCAUAGAUGUCCGAAUGGGGGAACCCGGCUGCAGCGAUGCGGUCAUUUGCAUUUGAAUACAUAGGAUGCAAAGGCGAACUCGGGGAACUGAAACAUCUAAGUACCCGAAGGAAAAGAAAUCAAGAGAGAUUCUCCAAGUAGCGGCGAGCGAACGGGGAGGAGCCUGGCGUGAUUUAUUAUUGAACUGAGUAGAACAAUUUGGGAAAGUUGGCCGUAGAGGGUGAAAGCCCCGUAUACGAAGGUUUGAUGAGGAACUAGGCACGCGAACAAGUAGGCCGGGACACGUGAAAUCCUGGUUGAAGAUGGGUGGACCAUCAUCCAAGGCUAAAUACUACUUACUGACCGAUAGUGAACCAGUACCGUGAGGGAAAGGUGAAAAGAACCCCGGAGAGGGGAGUGAAAUAGAAUCUGAAACCGUUUGCGUACAAGCAGUGGGAGCAUAGUUUAGGCUGUGUGACUGCGUACCUUUUGUAUAAUGGGUCAGCGAGUUACUUUCAGUGGCGAGGUUAACUGAAUAAGGGAGCCGUAGAGAAAUCGAGUCUGAAUAGGGCGAUAGUCGCUGGGAGUAGACCCGAAACCGGGCGAUCUAGCCAUGUGCAGGAUGAAGGUUGGGUAACACCAACUGGAGGUCCGAACCGGGUAAUGUUGAAAAAUUAUCGGAUGACGUGUGGCUAGGAGUGAAAGGCUAAUCAAGCCCGGAGAUAGCUGGUUCUCCCCGAAAGCUAUUUA
rnacentral:rRNA from 1 species